UACGGGGGGGGCAAGCGUUGUUCGGAAUUAUUGGGCGUAAAGGGCUCGUAGGUGGCCAACUAAGUCAGACGUGAAAUCCCUCGGCUUAACCGGGGAACUGCGUCUGAUACUGGAUGGCUUGAGUUUGGGAGAGGGAUGCGGAAUUCCAGGUGUAGCGGUGAAAUGCGUAGAUAUCUGGAGGAACACCGGUGGCGAAGGCGGCAUCCUGGACCAACACUGACACUGAGGAGCGAAAGCCAGGGGAGCAAACGGG
rnacentral:rRNA from 1 species